rnacentral:rRNA from 1 species
GCGGCAGGCUAACACAUGCAAGUCGAGGGGCAUCGGGAGUAGCAAUACUGCCGGCGACCGGCGCAAGGGUGCGUAACGCGUGAGCAACAUGCCCGUAUCAGGGGGAUAAUCCAUGGAAACGUGGUCUAAUACCCCAUAGUAAUUAUGUAAGGCAUCUUAUAUAAUUUAAAGCUUUGGUGGAUACGGAUUGGCUCGCGUGACAUUAGCUGGAUGGUAAGGUAACGGCUUACCAUGGCUACGAUGUCUAGGGGUUCUGAGAGGAAGGUCCCCCCACACUGGAACUGAGACACGGUCCAGACUCCUACGGGAGGCAGCAGUGAGGAAUAUUGGACAAUGGAUGGAAAUCUGAUCCAGCCAUGCCGCGUGCAAGGAAGACGGCCCUAUGGGUUGUAAACUGCUUUUGUAUGGGAGCAAUAAGGGCUACGUGUAGUCCGAUGAGAGUACCAUACGAAUAAGCACCGGCUAACUCCGUGCCAGCAGCGGC